UUCAGGCAGAGUAUGUCUGUGAAGCCAAGGAACGUCCUUGACAGAGGAAGCAGUGCUUACCAGGCAUAAGUAUCUCUGCUGAGGGCACAGCAAAGACCAGCAGACCCUGUCAAUACAGCUAGAAAGAUGUGCCCUUUGGUGCUACAGAGRGGGUUAACUCUUCUGUGUAAGAGAUCAAUGCCAAGUCAAAAGUGCUGUCAUUUCAGACUGUGGAACAUGCUGGAUUUCAUCUUAUGGAGUAUCUUUGUUCUGGGAAUGUUGCAAAUAAAGGAUUCUAGGAUGAGAUGGCUGCAGGUGGGACAGACUCAGCUCUACACGGAGUUUAUUUGUCUGCAGCUUGCAGGAGACAAAAGAGAGGUUGCUGGGCUGGAGGAGAGACGAAGAAGUCAGUCAGUCAGCCAGCCAUAUUCCUAAAGGAACCUGUAAAAAGAAAGACUUUUAAGCAUGAAGAAAGGAGGAGGAUGCAGAAAAAUAAAACGUGUGUGGCCAUACCA
rnacentral:lncRNA from 1 species